UGAACACCAUCCCCAGCGUC
rnacentral:misc_RNA from 1 species